GGGCCCGCACAAGCGGUGGAGCAUGUGGUUUAAUUCGAUGAUACGCGAGGAACCUUACCAGGGCUUAAAUGGGAAAUGACAGGGGCAGAGACGCCCCCUUCUUCGGACAUUUUUCAAGGUGCUGCAUGGUUGUCGUCAGCUCGUGCCGUGAGGUGUCAGGUUAAGUCCUAUAACGAGCGCAACCCCUACCGUUAGUUGCCAGCGUGUAAUGACGGGGACUCUAACGGAACUGCCGGUGCAAACCGUGAGGAAGGUGGGGACGACGUCAAAUCAUCACGGCCCUUACGUCCUGGGCCACACACGUGCUACAAUGGUAGGUACAGAGGGAAGCCACCCCGCGAGGGGGAGCGGAUCUACAAAACCUAUCUCAGUUCGGAUUGCAGGCUGCAACUCGCCUGCAUGAAGCUGGAAUC
rnacentral:rRNA from 1 species